UCAGGAUGAACGCUGGCGGCGUGCCUAACACAUGCAAGUCGAGCAAUUCUCUUCGGAGAAGAGCGGCGGACGGGUGAGUAACGCGUGGGUAACCUGCCUCAUACACAUGGAUAACAUACCGAAAGGUAUGCUAAUACAGGAUAAUAUAAGAGAUUCACAUGGAUUUCUUAUCAAAGCUCCGGCGGUAUGAGAUGGACCCGCGUCUGAUUAGCUAGUUGGUAAGGUAACGGCUUACCAAGGCGACGAUCAGUAGCCGACCUGAGAGGGUGAUCGGCCACAUUGGAACUGAGACACGGUCCAAACUCCUACGGGAGGCAGCAGUGGGGAAUAUUGCACAAUGGGCGAAAGCCUGAUGCAGCAACGCCGCGUGAGUGAUGAAGGCCUUCGGGUCGUAAAACUCUGUCCUCAAGGAAGAUAAUGACGGUACUUGAGGAGGAAGCCCCGGCUAACUACGUGCCAGCCGCCGC
rnacentral:rRNA from 1 species